rnacentral:rRNA from 1 species
CCCUUAGAUGUUCUGGGCCGCACACGCGCUACACUGAAGGAGGCAGCGUGUACUCCUGGAUCGAAAGAUUUGGGUAACCCGCGAAUCUCCUUCGUGCUAGGGAUUGAGGUUUGCAAUUAUCCUUCAUGAACGAGGAAUUCCCAGUAAGUGCAAGUCAUAAGCUUGCGCUGACUACGUCCCUGCCCUUUGUACACACCACCCGUCGCUACUACCGAUUGAAUGAUUUAGUGAGGACUUCGGACUGGGACCGAUGCGGCUUUCGGGCUGCGUCGGUAUUCUGGAAAGAUGUCCAAACUGUAUCAUUUAGAGGAAGUAAAAGUCGUANCA